CGUAAUACGGAGGGUGCAAGCGUUACUCGGAAUCACUGGGCGUAAAGGACGCGUAGGCGGGAUGUCAAGUCAGAUGUGAAAUCCAAUGGCUCAACCAUUGAACUGCAUUUGAAACUGGCAACCUAGAGUAUGGGAGGGGGAGAUGGAAUUAGUGGUGUAGGGGUAAAAUCCGUAGAUAUCACUAGGAAUACCGAAAGCGAAGGCGAUCUCCUGGAACAUAACUGACGCUAAGGCGUGAAAGCGUGGGGAGCAAACAGGAUUAGAUACCCUGGUAGUCCACGCCCUAAACGAUGAACACUAGU
rnacentral:rRNA from 1 species